AUUGAACGCUGGCGGCAGGCCUAACACAUGCAAGUCGAGCGAGCGGCGGACGGGUGAGUAAUGUCUGGGAAACUGCCUGAUGGAGGGGGAUAACUACUUGAAACUGUAGCUAAUUCCGCAUACCAUCAGAUGUGCCCAGAUGGGAUUAGCUAGUCGGUGGGGUAACGGCUCACCUAGGCGACGAUCCCUAGCUGGUCUGAGAGGAUGACCAGUCACACUGGAAGUGAGACAAGGGCCAGAAUCCUAAGGGAGGCAGCAGUGGGGCAUCUUGCACAAUGGGCGCAAGCCUGAUGCAGCCAUGCCGCGUGUGUGAAGAAGGCCUUCGGGUUGUAAAGCACGUUCAGCGGGGAGGCGUUACCCGCAGAAGAAGCACCGGCUAACUCCGUGCCAGCAGCCGCGGUAAUUC
rnacentral:rRNA from 1 species